GACUUUUUAAGCUUUUAUAGUAAUAAAAGAAAAUAACAUAAAGAAAUAAAAUUCAAGAGAUCAAAAGAUAGAAUAAAUCAAAUUUAAUUAUAGGUGAUUAGCUCACUUUGAUAAUUCCUAUCAACUGUCGCUUCAAGUUUUUUCGUCAAUCAACUAGUCGUUGCCCCAGCAGGAUAUUCUGAUCUUCCACUUGAAUAACGAGUCAACAAGGACUACUUAUCUUCCGACCUCAUAGUCCAGAUUGGUUUGGGGUGAAGGUGUUCACAAAUAGGCAAUACCAAUUUUGGGUUAAUUCCCACUUUGAUGACUUCCCAUAGUUGUCUGGACUAGGCUUGUUUUACAUUUUCCUUUCCGAAACAGCUGAUCCGUUGAGUAUCCCUACAAAACAAUUAAUAGAUCAUACCUCCACUUGCUAAUCCCCCAAAGAGGGAUUAGUUCCUCAUGGUUUCCAUAGACAAUAUAGAAUCAAUAUAAAGAGAAAACAUGCCAAAUAAAUUGACAAUAUAGAGUUGUAUUAAGAUUGAUCGCAGAUCCAUAAGGUUUGGUUGUCUUCAUAAUACAGAUCUCUCAAAAUAGAAUAAGAACAAAUGAAAAUAAAUCUAACCUAAGAAAAGAGAAAACUAAACUGAAAUGAAAAGACUAAAUCUAGACUAAGUGAAUUGUGUCUAUAACAUGUGAUAAAGGAGCCUAUUUAUAGAUUUUAGGUGGUCGUCGUCCUUAACCCUAGGUCAGUUGAUGUUCUUGAACUUUAAGUUUGAUUAUGCGGAACAAAACUCCCCUGUCUCAUGUUUAAUUCCCGUCCAGAUUCAAUGUCGCAACAUACCAGGUCCUGUGUCGCGAUAUAGCAGUCAAUGUACUCCCUUUGGGAUAUCUUCAGGGUAUGGGUAUGUCGCGACACCCUUAGGCCUCAUUUGAUCUCUAAAGUCAAUAAACAAAUCAAUUUUCACAUUUUAUUAACUUAACAAAAACUUACGAAAACAUAAUUAAUACGUAAUGAAAAUAUUUGGUUUCAAGUUCUUAAAGUGUGGAAAUUAGUUUGAUCUGCUACACGGAAUUACGGCAAUUCAGCCUUUAAUAAUUAUUGUCAUUUAGACACAAUAACUUGAUCGACUUCAACUUUCUUUCACAUAAGUCAUAUACAAGUCGUUAUUUGAGUUAUCACCAUUAUUCAUCCAUUUUCCUCAUUUAAUAAGGUUCUGCCAUUUUGGUGAACAAAUUAUCUCCUUUACUUAUUUAUCUCAAUUCAUAUACAUAUAUAUUAUAAUAAUAGAAAACUUAUUACACACUUUCUCUUCGUCAUUUAUUACAUUAAUUAACUAAUUAGUGAUUUUUCAUUAUAAAGUAAGAGAAUUUCCAUGAGAACUUACCUUCAAAAUCACCAAAAAUAGGAGAUAGUUCUUUUUUCUACUCAACCACUUCUUCCUUUCCUUUGCUUGGAGUUCCUUUUCCAAGCCUUUUCUCUUUAUUAAAACAUUGAAUACAUAUAGUAAAUAUCAUACUAAAUGUUCAACAACUUAAUAGACAUGAAUGUUAUAAAUAUAUGUGAUGAGAUGAUGAAACUAAUUCAUUCUUACCUUCACUUGAAUUUCCUCUCACUAACUUAAGUAAAACCCUAAAUUUUGAUGGGAGGAUGAAGAUGGAAACAAGCUUAAGAAAGGAUUUAAAGUUGAUAGUUGAUUUUAGUGAAGGAAAUAAGGUUUAAAUUUGAAAUGUGGCUUGGAUCGAAGGAAGGAGGUGGAAAUAGUGGGAUGAGAUUUUUCUCCUUUCUUGUUACAAUGGUUGAAGUUCUUGAGGAAG
rnacentral:lncRNA from 1 species